CUCUCCUUUAUCUGCUCCUCAAGCUGCUCAUCUCUUCACUCAGCACAGAGAGUCAUCGCACACUGAUAAGAUGCUGCCAGCACUCUGCUCUCUCUUCACUGCUCUCUCAUGUGUCAGUGGUGUGACUGUGGUGACACAGAAGCCUCCUGUUCUCACACCCACUAAAGGAGAGACGACCACUAUGCACUGUAAUCUGGGGACUGUUACUAGGAGUGCUGCACGUUGGUAUAAACAGGUUCCAGGAGAAGCUCCACAGUAUGUGUUAAGGAAUUAUCAUGGCUUGAGCUCUCCUGAAUAUGGAUCUGGCUUCUCUUCUCCUAAAUUCACAUCAACACACUCGUCUCAAUCAGAUUACACUCUGAUCAUCAGUAAUGUGGAGUUGGUCAUGAAGGCUUAUCAAAACUUCCUUCCACUGACUAGAUAAAAGAACAUUGGAUGA